rnacentral:misc_RNA from 1 species
GGAUGAAGAACGCAGCGAAAUGCGAUAAGUAAUGUGAAUUGCAGAAUUCAGUGAAUCAUCGAAUCUUUGAACGCACAUUGCGCCCGCUAGUAUUCUGGCGGGCAUGCCUGUCCGAGCGUCAUUUCAACCCUCAAGCCCCCGGGCUUGGUGUUGGGGAUCGGCGAGCCUCCGCGCCCGCCGUCCCCUAAAUCUAGUGGCGGUCUCGCUGUAGCUUCCUCUGCGUAGUAGCACACCUCGCACUGGGAAACAGCGCGGCCACGCCGUUAAACCCCCAACUUCUGAACGUUUGACCUCGGAUCAGGUAGGAAUACCCGCUGAACUUAAGCAUAUCAAUAAGCGGAGGA